rnacentral:snRNA from 1 species
GGAUGUGAGGGCGAUCUGGCUGCCACAUCUGUCGCAGGGUUGAUCUGGAAGCUGAUCUGGCUGGCCAGGCAGGUGUCCCCUUCCUCCCUCACCGCUCCAUGUGCAUCCCUCCCGAAGCUGCGCGCUCAGUCAAAGAGGACGACCAUCCCCGCUAGAGGAGGACCAGUCUUCGGUCAAGGGUAUACGAGUAGCUGCGCUCCCCUGCUAGAACCUCCAAAGAAGCUCUCAAGAGUCAUCCCUUCAUUAUUUAUCGCCUCUGGGCAAACAUUCAAGACAAAUCUAGGCAUAAUCCAAAUAGGGAAAUACAGUCUCUGCUUU